rnacentral:rRNA from 1 species
AUACCGCGUGUGUGAAGAAGGCCUUCGGGUUGUAAAGCACUUUAAGCAGGGAGAAAAAGUUAUAGGUUAAUACCCUAUGACCUUGAUGUUACCUGCAGAAUAAGCACCGGCUAAUUCCGUGCCAGCAGCCGCGGUAAUACGGAAGGUGCAAGCGUUAAUCGGAAUUACUGGGCGUAAAGCGCGCGUAGGUGGUUUGUUAAGUUGGAUGUGAAAGCCCUGGGCUCAACCUAGGAACUGCAUCCAAAACUAACUCACUAGAGUACGAUAGAGGGAGGUAGAAUUCAUAGUGUAGCGGUGGAAUGCGUAGAUAUUAUGAAGAAUACCAGUGGCGAAGGCGGCCUCCUGGAUCUGUACUGACACUGAGGUGCGAAAGCGUGGGUAGCGAACAGGAUUAGAUACCCUGGUAGUCCACGCCGUAAACGAUGACAACUAGCUGUUGGGAGACUAUGUCUUUCAGUGGCGCAGCUAACGCUUUAAGUUGUCCGCCUGGGGAGUACGGCCGCAAGGCUAAAACUCAAAUGAAUUGACGGGGACCCGCACAAGCGGUGGAGCAUGUGGUUUAAUUCGAUGCAACGCGAAAGACCUUACCUACUCUUGACAUACUUGGAGGCUCUUGUAAUGAGAGCGUGCCUUUUGGAACCAAGAUACAGGUGCUGCAUGGCUGUCGUCAGCUCGUGUCGUGAGAUGUUCCGUUAAGUCGGAUAACGAGCGCAACCCUUACCCUUAUUUGCCAGCGAUUCGGUCGGGAACUAUAAGGGGACUGCCGGUGAUAAACCGGAGGAAGGUGAGGACGACGUCAAGUCAUCAUGGCCCUUACGAGUAGGGCUACACACGUGCUACAAUGGAGAAUACAGACGGACGCUAAGCCGCGAGGUGGUGCUAAUCCUAGAAAGUUCUUCGUAGUCCGGAUUGGAGUCUGCAACUCGAC